GCUAAUCAUCAUAUAAAAUAUAUAUAGAUAAUAAGAAAAUAAAUCAGUAGAAAUAAUAAAGGUUCCCAAUUAUUAUUAACUAAUUUGUCUUAUAUCAUUAUAGUAAAUAGCAAAUCCAAUAAGGAAAUAAGAACUACCGAGUACAGAGAUGUAUUUUAAACUUACAGCCAAUAUCAUGAUAUUCAGAUUCAUCCAACUACUGCAUAUUUGUAACAACCAUUACCUUAGCAAUGAAUCCUUCAAAAAUUAGGGACAAAAAUCAGAAAAACAAUCAGGCAGAAACACAACAGAACAUUCAUAUAAAAGAAAAUUCUGAAUAAAUAAAUAUAAGCAUGUUGUGUAGUUUAGCCGUAGAAGCUCUGAAACUUUAAAAUCAUAAAUUUUUCCUCUUCUUACUACUUCACAUUCUUUUUCCUUGACUUAGGUAGCACCCUGAAAAAAAGUAAUCAAACCAACAAAUAAAUAGAAAAUGAGUAAUUAAAGAAUAAUUAUGAAAGCAACAUUAAUG
rnacentral:lncRNA from 1 species